UAGGGAAUCUUCCACAAUGGACGCAAGUCUGAUGGAGCAACGCCGCGUGAGUGAAGAAGGUUUUCGGACCGUAAAGCUCUGUUGUUGGUGAAGAAGGAUAGAGGUAGUAACUGGCCUUUAUUUGACGGUAAUCAACCAGAAAGUCACGGCUAACUACGUGCCAGCAGCCGCGGUAAUACGUAGGUGGCAAGCGUUGUCCGGAUUUAUUGGGCGUAAAGCGAGCGCAGGCGGAAGAAUAAGUCUGAUGUGAAAGCCCUCGGCUUAACCGAGGAAUUGCAUCAGAAACUGUUUUCUUGAGUGCAGAAGAGGAGAGUAGAACUCCAUGUGUAGCGGUGGAAUGCGUAGAUAUAUGGAAGAAUACCAGUGGCGAAGGCGGCUCUCUGGUCUGCAACUGACGCUGAGGCUCGAAAGCAUGGGUAGCGAACAGGAUUAGAUACCCUGGUAGUCCAUGCCGUAAACGAUGAGUGCUAAGUGUUGGGAGGCUUCCGCCUCUCAGUGCUGCAGCUAACGCAUUAAGCACUCCGCCUGGGGGAGUACGACCGCAAGGUUGAAAC
rnacentral:rRNA from 1 species